GAUGAACGCUGGCGGCGUGCCUUAUACAUGCAAGUCGAGCGACCAGACGAUCUGCUUGCUCCUCUUACUUUAGCGUGGCACGGGUGAGUAACACAUGGCUAACCUACCUCUGAGACUGGGAUUACUUCGUGAAACCGUAGCUAAUACCGGCUAAUAUCUUGAACCGCAUGGUUCAAUAGUGCAAGACGUUUUUGUUUUCACUUAUCGAUUGAUCCGCGCCGCAUUAGCUAGUUGGUAAGGUAACGGCUUACCAAGGCAACGAUGCGUAGCCGAUCUGAGAGGGUGAUCGGCCACACUGGAACUGAGACACGGUCCAGACUCCUACGGGAGGCAGCAGUAGGGAAUCUUCCGCAAUGGGCGAAAGCCUGACGGAGCAACGCCGCGUGAGUGAUGAAGGUCUUCGGAUCGUAAAACUCUGUUAUUAGGGAAGAACAAAUGUGUAAGUAACUAUGCACGUCUUGACGGUACCUAAUCAGAAAGCCACGGCUAACUACGUG
rnacentral:rRNA from 1 species